rnacentral:rRNA from 1 species
CUGGAUGAUUGGACUUUAUUUGCGCAGCAUAGGUGGGAGGCGUUGAGAAUAUUCUUGCGGGAAUAUUGGAGUCAUCAGUGAGAUACCACUCUUGUAAUGUUAGAUUUCUAACUUUGUAUCAUUAUCUGGUCAAAGGACAGUUUCAGGCGGGCAGUUUGACUGGGGCGGUCGCCUCCCAAACGGUAACGGAGGCGCACAAAGGUUUCCUCUGAACGUGUAGAAAUCGUAUCUAGAGUGUAAAGGCAUAAGGAAGCUUGACUGUGAGACCUACAAGUCGAGCAGGGACGAAAGUCGGUCUUAGUGAUCUGACGGUGCUGAGUGGAAAGGCCGUCACUCAACGGAUAAAAGUUACUCUAGGGAAACAGGCUGAA